rnacentral:rRNA from 1 species
GAUGAACGCUGGCGGCGUGCCUAACACAUGCAAGUCGAACGGAACUAUUUUGGAAACUCCUUCGGGAGCGGAAUCUUUAGUUUAGUGGCGGACGGGUGAGUAACGCGUGAGCAAUCUGCCUUUAAGAGGGGGAUAACAGUCGGAAACGGCUGCUAAUACCGCAUAAAGCAUUGAAUUCGCAUCUUCUGUAUACCAAAGGAGCAAUCCGCUGAAUGAUGGACUCGCGUCCGAUUAGAUAGUUGGUGGGGUAACGGCCUACCAAGUCGACGAUCGGUAGCCGGACUGAGAGGUUGAUCGGCCACAUUGGGACUGAGACACAGCCCAGACUCCUACGGGAGGCAGCAGUGGGGAAUAUUGGGCAAUGGAGGAAACUCUGACCCAGCAACGCCGCGUGGAGGAAGAAGGUCUUCGGAUCGUAAACUCCUGUCCUUGGAGACGAGUAGAAGACGGUAUCCAAGGAGGAAGCCCCGGCUAACUACGUG